GCCCGCUUCGAGCAGGAAGCUCACCGGCGCCUUCGGCGCGACGGCGAACUCGCGCGUCAGCCAUGCCGGUUCCGCGCCGGCGGGCGACCACCA
rnacentral:tRNA from 1 species